UACAGAGGGGGCAAGCGUUGUUCGGAAUUACUGGGCGUAAAGGGCGCGUAGGCGGCCUUCUAAGUCGAACGUGAAAUCCCUGGGCUCAACCCAGGAACUGCGUCCGAUACUGGAAGGCUUGAAUCCGGGAGAGGGAUGCGGAAUUCCAGGUGUAGCGGUGAAAUGCGUAGAUAUCAGGAAGAAUAUCCGUGGCGAAGGCGGCUCUCUGGUACGGCACUGACGCUGAGACGCGAAAGCGUGGGGAGCGAACAGG
rnacentral:rRNA from 1 species